AGUGAACGCUGGCGGUAGGCCUAACACAUGCAAGUCGAACGGCAGCACAGUAAGAGCUUGCUCUUACGGGUGGCGAGUGGCGGACGGGUGAGGAAUACAUCGGAAUCUACUUUUUCGUGGGGGAUAACGUAGGGAAACUUACGCUAAUACCGCAUACGACCUACGGGUGAAAGUAGGGGAUCUUCGUACCUUUCGCGAUUGAAUGAGCCGAUGUCGGAUUAGCUAGUUGGCGGGGUAAAGGCCCACCAAGGCGACGAUCCGUAGCUGGUCUGAGAGGAUGAUCAGCCACACUGGAACUGGGACACGGUCCAGACUCCUACGGGAGGCAGCAGUGGGGAAUAUUGGACAAUGGGCGCAAGCCUGAUCCAGCCAUACCGCGUAGGUGAAGAAGGCCUUCGGGUUGUAAAGCCCUUUUGUUGGGAAAGAAAAGCAGCAGGUUAAUACCCCGCUGUUCUGACGGUACCCAACGAAUAAGCACCGGCUAACUUCGUG
rnacentral:rRNA from 1 species